GUCUCGGAAGUCACUCCAACCCUGUGACAUACCUUAUGUUGCCUCGGCGGAUCAGCCCGCGCCCCGUAAAACGGGACGGCCCGCCAGAGGACCCAAACUCUAAUGUUUCUUAUUGUAACUUCUGAGUAAAACAAACAAAUAAAUCAAAACUUUCAACAACGGAUCUCUUGGUUCUGGCAUCGAUGAAGAACGCAGCAAAAUGCGAUAAGUAAUGUGAAUUGCAGAAUUCAGUGAAUCAUCGAAUCUUUGAACGCACAUUGCGCCCGCUGGUAUUCCGGCGGGCAUGCCUGUUCGAGCGUCAUUUCAACCCUCAAGCCCCCGGGUUUGGUGUUGGGGAUCGGCUCUGCCUUCUGGCGGUGCCGCCCCCGAAAUACAUUGGCGGUCUCGCUGCAGCCUCCAUUGCGUAGUAGCUAACACCUCGCAACUGGAACGCGGCGCGGCCAUGCCGUAAAACCCCAACUUCUGAAUGUUGACCUCGGAUCAGGUAGGAAUACCCGCUGAACUUAAGCAUAUCAUAGAGGGGAGGAGGAA
rnacentral:rRNA from 1 species